AGAGUUUGAUCCUGGCUCAGGAUGAACGCUGGCGGCGUGCCUAAUACAUGCAAGUCGAACGAAUCUUCUUCGGAAGAUGAGUGGCGAACGGGUGAGUAAUACAUAGGUAACCUGCCCCUGUGCGGGGGAUAACAGGAGGAAACUCCUGCUAAUACCGCAUAGCCAUGAGCACCGCAUGGAGCUCAUGCCAAAUAUCCUUCACGGGAUAGCGCAGGGAUGGACCUAUGGCGCAUUAGCUAGUUGGCGGGGCAACGGCCCACCAAGGCAACGAUGCGUAGCCGGCCUGAGAGGGCGGACGGCCACAUUGGGACUGAGACACGGCCCAGACUCCUACGGGAGGCAGCAGUAGGGAAUUUUCGGCAAUGGGGGAAACCCUGACCGAGCAACGCCGCGUGAGCGAAGAAGGCCUUCGGGUCGUAAAGCUCUGUUGUAAAGGAAGAACGUCGGACACAGGAAAUGGUGUGCGAGUGACGGUACUUUACCAGAAAGCCACGGCUAACUACGUGCCAGCAGCCGCGGUAAUACGUAGGUGGCGAGCGUUAUCCGGAAUCAUUGGGCGUAAAGAGGGAGCAGGCGGCCGCAAGGGUCUGUGGUGAAAGACCGAAGCUAAACUUCGGUAAGCCAUGGAAACCGGGCGGCUAGAGUGCGGAAGAGGAUCGUGGAAUUCCAUGUGUAGCGGUGAAAUGCGUAGAUAUAUGGAGGAACACCAGUGGCGAAGGCGACGGUCUGGGCCGCAACUGACGCUCAUUCCCGAAAGCGUGGGGAGCAAAUAGGAUUAGAUACCCUAGUAGUCCACGCCGUAAACGAUGGUCACUAAGUGUCGGGGGUCAAACCCCGGUGCUGCAGUCAACGCAAUAAGUGACCCGCCUGAGUAGUACGUUCGCAAGAAUGAAACUCAAAGGAAUUGACGGGGGCCCGCACAAGCGGUGGAGCAUGUGGUUUAA
rnacentral:rRNA from 1 species